rnacentral:lncRNA from 1 species
AUCUGCCUCGAAUAACUGCAAGCCGGUGCGUGCGUAGUGUCGUGGAGAACUAUCAGAAGUCCUGGACGACAAAGAAAAAAACUUCAAAGCUGCCUCUGCGAGCCCUGCUCCUGGACAACAGCUGGGAGGCUCUGUGUUUAAACGCAUGCACCGUGGACGUCAUGCUCCUGCCCCAGCGAGCCCUGCUGUUGGACGCCAGCUGGAACGCUCUGCGUUUGAAAGCGUGCACCCCAGAUGUCAUGCUCGUAAAUACAGAGUUCUUUGUCAUUGUUCUCAUGAUUCUAGUGUUGACAAAGCAAUAAGUAAAAGCAGGCACUUGUGCAUCUGGAAUGAGGUUUAACCCUGUCUCAGGAGACAUAAGACAAUAUAGUCGUGCUACAUUCCUGUUGUUCACCAUUUUCAUGCAUGUUUGCGUUUGCAGUAUGUAUACAUACAUGCAGGCUUUGUUUUUGUUGUCCUCAGCUGCCUCUGCAAGCCCUUCUGCUGGACGCC